CACACCUACUUCAGCAAGGCCAACACCUCCUAAUAGCGCCACGGCCUUUGGGGGCCAUUCUCUUUCAAACUGCCCCCAGCUCCCUUACCCUUCAGAAUACAAUGUACAUCCCUAAGCAGGACAUUCCAGCCUUUCAUAUUCUGUACCAGGCUUCCCCAUACUCCUGCCUCCUGCUCUAGCUAUCAUGUCACUCUACAAGCUACCUCUUGGAUUCAGGGUCUCUCAAACACAUGCUUUGUUCUUAUCAUCUUCAAGGCUUGUUUCUCCUUAGCUUUCCUACCCAGCACGUGCUUAUGGAUUUCUGCUCACACCUAAAAUCUCUCCUUAGAAACCGAGACCUGUCUGCCUCCUUCUACUGACACACUGCCAUUGUCUUACAGGGAGUGUGUCCUGGUAGGAAGCUUUGGGUCUUAUCAUCUCUGUGCCUACAGCAUGGAACUCCACUUGAUUCAGAUGUAGAACUCUCAGCUACUUUUCCAGCACCCUGUUUGACUGCCUGCCAACAUGUUUCCUGUCAUGAUGAUAAUGGACUGAACCUCUGAAAUGCUUAACUUUCAGAUGUCUGCAGAAGAUGCCACUGUGUAAGAUGCAGAUUUCAGGUGUGCCACAGACACGUCCUAUCUGAAAGGCUACACCCCCCACCCCCAAUCUUAUCCAUGACACCACCAGAGGCCAGCUAAAAAAGUGUCUUUGUUUCUUCAAGUCUGCAAAGGAAAAGGCCUGCUUCAGGUGAUGCCAACUGCCCAGCUGGAGGAUCCCAGUCAGUCUCUAGCUCCUUGGCAAUUUCCGGAGGUAAGACCUGCCCCUGUACACUGCUGGAUCUUCCCCAUGGAGUGCCGUCUGGUGAACCCUCCAUCUCCCUCAGGUCUUUACUAAAAUAUCACUUUAGUGAGCUUGUCCCCAGACACUCCGCUAAUGCAAGCUCCCCUCCCUGCCCACCCACUUCCCACACUGGAUUGGGACACUGGUACUACGGCUUGGCAACACGGCCUGUGUCUUACGCUUGUGUGUGCAUGAUGUUUUUAUCUUCCGCCUCUAUACACCUGAGUCUCACACAUUCGAGUGUCUUGUUUGUUGACACAGCUCUGGCAUCAAGACGAUGUCCAACACAAUAUAGCUACUUGGGAAGUAUUUGUCAGAUGAAUAAAGUAGUGUUAAAGGCAAAAAUGGAUAAAUGGGACAGAUGCUACAACAAAAAUGUAUACCCCAGGACAAGGCGUUCGGAGGCCCUGCCAAGUGCGAUUUGUUUUGAAGUAGAAUUACAUAAGCAUGCAUCUGGGGUGCUCAGAAACUUCCAUUUUCAUUUGCCGAACUGUAUAUGAGCCUCUGUGGGCGACAGCCUGUCAUACAAAUGAGAUGUGUUGUAAAAAACCCGUAUCCAAGCUAUUUUAAAAAUGGGUUUUUAAAUGAAUGUUUAAAUAUUAAUACAGAAUAUUAAUAUUUGAAAUUCAUUUUUUCAUAAAACAGAGUUAAUCUUGAGGCUAGCAUAGUUUUCAGAACUUUUGCUAGCUAGAUUUCAAAGCACUACUCCUCAAGCCCUGCAGGAACCAUGCCAGCCAUACUCAUGUCUGUUUGUUUCUAUUCACUUAUUAUCACUAAUUUUUGCUGGAAGUUCUGAAUGGUGAUUAAAUGGCUUGUUUAAUCACAAUUAUGAUUAUUCUCAGAAUUUCAAAGACUUUCACUUGUCACUAGACAGGAAUAUUUUAGAUUGUUGGUGGGAAAACUUUGAAUCUCUUUAAUCGUGAAAUUGAAGGAAAACUGAUAGAAAUUACAAACAAGUUCCAUCUCCUCUUCCCUUGUCUGUUUAUUUAUUCAUUUACUUUGAGACAGGAUGACCCACACUGACACUUGCUGUGGAGUGGAAGAGGAAGGACCUUGAGUUUCUGGCCCUUGUGCUUCUGACUCUGGGCAUCACGAUUAGACAAGCCCUGCCAAGAGGGCUUCGAGCAUCUAGACAAGUGUCCUCCCGGUGAGCUGCCUCCCCAGCCCCCACCGCCCCCUUCCUUAUACUCAGAGAGACUGAUAGAGCGUGUCCCUCCAGGAAAAGUAGAUCAAAACUUUUGGCUUAUUUCCAUUUGCAUCCCUAUUUCCUGGAACUGGGGCUUUUGCAGUUAAAGUCAAUUCUAGAUUUUUCUAAAUCUAAUAGAAUAAAUUAAAGUUUUGGCCUUAAUUUUUGAAAAAGAAAAAAACCCUUCUCAACUUACUUUCUUCUAUAUCAAUAUUAGACAGAAACAUAAGGAAUCGUGAAAUAAAGCAACACCCUCACCCCCAAAGUAUGUUCCUUUAAGUUUAUAAACACACUUGAUGUUAACAGAAACAUCUGUUCUAUUACAGGAAGUUGGUGUUACUGUUCCAUGUAACCAAGGACCAAAUGAAAUUUGUCAUUGAGCAGUGGUCAGGGGUGACAAGGUGCUGAACCCCUCAGAUGCUGGGAGCCCUGUUCUAUCCAUCCAUAAGCUAUCCACUAUUUAUUCAUCUGCAGAAAUAUUAAAUGACUUGCAUGUAAUAUAAGAGCUUAGGUACCACGCCCCAGACCCUCAGGGAGAGAAGAGCUCUUGUUCUGGUCUGGCCAGGUUGCAGUGGCUGGGAGGUGAUCCUCCAGGCCUUCCACUCCACCAGGGCCCUCUUAACUCAGAAAGUCAAGCCCCAUCUGAUUCCAGACACUCUCUUUAGUCAUCUACAUCUCCAACAGGAAUAUAAGCUAUGCACAAUGCUGAAGGAUUUCCUGUUGUAGAGUGGUUUUAGAAUAUCAACUCUAAGAGUUUUUUUGGAAUUCAGGCAUCUGAUGAUGGUUAACAGUUAGGGGAGGAUUUGGAGCAUCUCAGAACUCCAUAACAUUAUUGAAUCCAGUCAUAAAGACUGCCAACUGACUUUCCCCAAUAUUAUUGACUACUGUGAUCAAAUACCAGACAAGAAGUAAUGUGAGGGAGGAGAGUGUAUUUUGUCUCUGAGCCUCCCAUAGAAGGGAAGGUGUAGAAGCAGGAACAUGGUGGGGUUGGUCACAUUGUGUCUAUACCAGAAAGUAGAGUGGACAGAGGUGGGCCAAACAAUUAAAUCCCAAGACUCCACCUUUCAACAAGUACCACCAGCUGACUAGAUGGUACGUGGUAAACUACCCCCCUAACAUGCAUACUGACAGCUUGUGAUGCUCUCAAACAUAGUUGGAGAAGCUUCUUUUUGCAGGAGGUUGCGGCUAAUGCAGAGACUCAUAAGUGGUCAAAAUACUGAGAAUACGUGUUGUGCGUGCUUAAGC